AUAAUAAUAUAAAAAAUCAACGUACUGAGUAUAACAACAAUUACAUUAUAAGUAUUAUAACAAGGAAUAAUGUAUGAAAUGGCAUUAUGGCAAGUGCAUGAUAGUAUUUUCAUAAUGAUAUUAAACGUUACACACCCUUUUCGGAGUACUUAAUGAUUAACCCUUAACCACCUACGUGCGGUCUCACAGACCAUAGAUUAUUCAAAGUUGUCAAUAACUGAACGCGAGUACAUCGCACAUGCGUCUGUGACCUUGUACCUUUGCCCGGCCCCCCCGCAGAGCCGGCCAUGCCGUCGACUUAUUCAGACGUGUGCUCAUUUGGAUUUGUAAAACAUGCUUCCUAGUGACGCAACAAUUGAAAAGUGGCUACAGGAAGUAUCGUCUGGUGAAGAUGACCUGUCGGAUGAAGGAUACAGUGCCGUAGAACCAGAACUU